UAAAAAGACGGUCAGAUGAUUCUUAGGACACUCAGGUACGAGAAUUGGCCUGGUGCGAGUAACAGAAAACUGGUCUGAGGGUCUGACCUCUCUGCCUGUUUUUGCAAACAAAGUUUUCCUGGAAGACGGCCAUCCCUGUUCGCAGCGGUUACUGUGCUCUGUUGACUGAGAGAGCUCAUCGUCACCCACUAACGGGUCAAAGUCUACAGUUUGAAGAGUCCUGCAACGUGGAAGGAAUGUUCAAGCAGGAGUGAGAAUCCUGAGUUCCUUGUUGCUCCACUUUUGAAUGGAAACCUGCACUCUCACCAUCAAACCAAGGUGAUAGGAUUCAAUCAGAUCAUCUCCACGACCUCUGUUUCAGUGGAUUGAGGAUUUCCCACCUUGAUACUGGUGAUUUUUCCUCAUCAGGAUUCUGUGACGGGGCACCUGUCUCAGCAGACGACCAGAAAACUCAACACAGGACCAUUGUGCACUUACCUUCUCUGCCAAGGAAAAAAAAAGGACAGAUUCUUCCCAGAGACCUCUUUGUGCCUAGAAGGGGUUGGGCAAGAUCGUUCUUGUUACUAUUUGGCAUGUAUUCACAAGUUAUCAUUGUCCACUGUGUGAUGUAUGAAGAAGAAACACUGGAAAAAACAUGCCAAGAAGUAAAAGGGCUUUUCCAGGCACUGGCCACCUCACUGGAUCCACACUCCAAAAGAAAGCUCUCUGGGAGCUGA
rnacentral:lncRNA from 1 species